UACGUAGGGUGCGAGCGUUAAUCGGAAUACUGGGCGUAAAGCGUGCGCAGGCGGUUAUGUAAGACAGUUGUGAAAUCCCCGGGCUCAACCUGGGAAUUGCAUCUGUGACUGCAUAGCUAGAGUACGGUAGAGGGGAUGGGAAUUCCGCGUGUAGCAGUGAAAAUGCGUAGAUAUGCGGAGGAACACCGAUGGCGAAGGCAAUCCCCUCGGACCUGUACUGACGCUCAUGCACGAAAAGCGUGGGGGAGCAAACGAGGAUAGAUACCCCAGUA
rnacentral:rRNA from 1 species